rnacentral:lncRNA from 1 species
GUCGCCGCCUCCUCUCCCCGCUUCCACCGCGCGCCGCCACCUCUCACCCUUCCACCGCGCGCCGCCUCCUCCCCCCGCUUCCACCGCGCGCCGCCACCUCUCCCCCUUCCACGCUCCUCCCCAUCCACCGGGCGCCGCCACCUCCUCCUUCACCAAAUCCGCCGCGCGCCGCCACCUCGCUCCCCAUCCACCGCGCCCCGCUUCCCCCUCCGCCUCGGCGAAAUCCUCCCACCUCCUCCACACCUUCCUCCAAGUCGGCGGCGGCGGCGAGUUCAAAGUUCGAAGCUGCAAGCGCGGUGGUUCCCUGAGCCAGAGAAGGUGUGUUUCGAUUUGGGAAGAAGAAGGCCUUGCUGUCCAGUGAGCAGGCAACCAUAAAAAGGGCUAGCAGAGGUGCUAAAAAAAAACCAAGAACCUACAAGAACCAUAAAAGAGAUGAUUUGUAUUGUUUUUGGGACCUCGAUACACCUACAAGAACCUUAGUUGCAUCUAAGUUAUGUAAUUAUUGCUAUGUACUUGAAGAACUCCAUUAUAUCUAAGUUGGACAUUUAUGUAAUAGCUAUUUGAGCUGAUGGACAACUGCUAUUUGUAUCAGAAUACUGCUAUUGUGAUACUGGUACUUGAAGGC